UACGGAGGGUGCAAGCGUUAAUCGGAAUUACUGGGCGUAAAGCGCACGUAGGCGGCCUGUUAAGCAAGAUGUGAAAGCCCAGGGCUCAACCUUGGAAUUGCAUUUUGAACUGGCAGGCUAGAGUUUUGAAGAGGGUGGUAAAAUUUCCAGUGUAGCGGUGAAAUGCGUAGAUAUUGGAAGGAAUACCAGUGGCGAAGGCGGCCACCUGGUCAAAAACUGACGCUGAGGAGCGAAAGCGUGGGGAACAAACAGG
rnacentral:misc_RNA from 1 species